AAAGGUCAAAGAUAAAAGUUUGUAUGAACAUAAAUAAUAAUAAUAAUUAAAUUGUAAAUCCUAUGAUAAUCGAUACUCGAUAAACAUGGUCGGUUGGAGUCUUGGACACAAUUUGACCGGAAUGUGAAUGAGUCAUGUAGAGUUGGCUACCUGUCUGAACCUACAAAAUGCUACUAGGUAGCUAGAGAAAGGCUAGAACUAAAACUAUUUAGAACAAUAAAAUAUAUUUUUGUCAUUUCUAUCGUUAUUGUUCUUUAAAGACUACAAUUUUGAAUUAGUUUUCGUGUAUAAAAUACUAUUUUUUUUUUUUUUGGGCAACUGAGAUUUCAUUAAAUAAAGGGUUCAAGAGUUACACAGAGCUUGGGCCAGAAAGCAAGCAAGCCUUAGCGUUUAAGUCCGCAAG
rnacentral:lncRNA from 1 species